rnacentral:rRNA from 1 species
CACGCCGUAAACGAUGAGUGCUAGGUGUUGGGAGUCAAAUCUCAGUGCCGCCGCAAACGCAUUAAGCACUCCGCCUGGGGAGUACGUGCACAAGCAUGAAACUCAAAGGAAUUGACGGGGACCCGCACAAGCAGCGGAGCAUGUGGUUUAAUUCGAAGCAACGCGAAGAACCUUACCAGGGCUUGACAUCUACUUGCUUAGCUUAGAGAUAAGCUAUUUUCUUCGGAAACGGGUAGACAGGUGG